UUACCCACUGCUGUUUCAGGGAGUGCUAGUGUUACUACUGCUUUGGUUAAUUCCAAGACACCUGUAUGGCCUUCUUUUUGCUGCUUCAUUUUUUCAAUGACCUUGAAUGAUUCAUAAUUGUCAUACAUUUUGAAUGCUGCUUGCUUUAUCCUUUAACAAUUACCGAACUGGCCUUGAAAAUGUCACAUCUCAAGUUGCUGCCAGUUCUGAAGAUAGAGCAUCUGUGCUGGAUACUGAGGAAGUGAAAAAAGGAAUGGCAGUUGCUGGAAAAAGUGAUGCAAAUCCGUUAGAGGAGAAAACCCUGGAUGAUGAACCUUUAGUAUUUUCCAAUAAACUGGAGGCAAAAAAUGCAUUCAAAGCUCUCUUGAAAGCUGCUAAUGUUCAGUCUGAUUGGA
rnacentral:misc_RNA from 1 species